rnacentral:rRNA from 1 species
CCUACGGGUGGCAGCAGUAGGGAAUCUUCCACAAUGGGCGAAAGCCUGAUGGAGCAACGCCGCGUGGGUGAAGAAGGUCUUCGGAUCGUCAAACCCUGUUGUUAGAGAAGUAAAUUCGUGAGAGUAACUGUUCACGUUUCUACGGUAUCUAACAGGAAAGCCACGGCUAACUACGUGCCAGCAGCCGCGGUAAUGCGGAGGAGGCAAGCGUUAUCCGGAUUUGUUGGGCGUAAAGGGAACGCAGGCGGUCUUUUAAGUCUGAUGUGAAAGCCUUCGGCUGAACCGGAGUCGUGCAUUGGAUACUGGGAGACUUGAGUGCAGAAGAGGAGAGGGGAACUCAAUGUGUAGCGGUGAAAUGCGUAGAUAUAUGGAAGAACCCCAGUGGCGAAAGCGGCUCUCCGGUCUGUAACUGACGCUGAGGUUCGAAAGCGUGGGUAGCAAACAGGAUUAGAUACCCUUGUAGUC